rnacentral:RNase_P_RNA from 1 species
UCAGAAGCGCGGUCUGUCGCUUGAGUCUUUUUUACUCAAGAGGAAAGUCCGGGCAACGUAGGGCAGCAUGCUUCCUAACGGGAAGCCGGCGGCGACGCCGGGGAUAAGUGACAGAAAACAACCGCCCGUCCUUUCAACAGGAUGAGGUAAGGGUGAAAAGGCGGGGUAAGAGCCCACCGGUCUUCAUGGCGACAUGAGGAGCCGCACAUCCCAUGUGUUGCAAGGCCAAAUACACCGGCAAUUAAGGAUUGCCCGUCCAGUGCCGGGGGGUAGGCUGCUUCAGCCCUCGGGCAACCGUGCGGCGUAGAUAAAUGACAGACACCCUCCCUGAGGGUACAUAACCCGGCUUAUAACGCUUCUGUUUUU